GAGUUUGAUCAUGGCUCAGGAUGAACGCUGGCGGCGUGCCUAAUACAUGCAAGUCGAACGGGUGCAGCGAUGUACUAGUGGCGAACGGGUGAGUAACACGUUGGUGACCUGCCCCAAAGAGGGGAAUACCACUUGGAAACGAGUGACAAAACCGCAUAAGCUGUCUCAGAUUAGAAGGGAGACAGUAAAAGAGAAAUCUACUUUGGGAGGGGCCUGCGGCCCAUCAGCUAGUUGGAGAGGUAACGGCUCACCAAGGCGAAGACGGGUAGGGGACCUGAGAGGGUGAUCCCCCACAAUGGAACUGAAACACGGUCCAUACACCUGCGGGUGGCAGCAGUAGGGAAUAUUGCUUAAUGGGCGAAAGCCUGAAGCAGCAACGCCGCGUGAACGAAGAAGGCCUUCGGGUCGUAAAGUUCUUUUANCGUGGGAUGAGGAAGGANCGUACCAC
rnacentral:rRNA from 1 species